AAGAUCCUCUAGCUUGGUCAAAAUUAACUCUUUGUCUGAAAGGAGGAGAAGGAUUAGGCACUGUGACCUUAUUGAAUCCAACUGAAUGUCUAUUUGUGUAGACAUUGAAAGACAUAGAGUCUGGAUUAAACUGAGAAAGGGACUGGACUUGUCUCUGCUUCUCAUCAUUGAGGACCAUAUUGUAGACAAUGUCAAGGGUUGGAGGGGGCUGCAUCAUCAGUAGGUUACUCCUUACCCCCAUGUAUGCUUCAUUAAGGCCCAUUAGAAACUGAAACACCUUAUUCUCAUCAUCUUCCUGUAUUAUACCAUUUUUGGCAGCACAAAUACAUCUUUGCCCAUGAUUUGUACACAUUGUUUCUAAUUCAUCC
rnacentral:lncRNA from 1 species